GUACCAGAUCAAUGUGGAGCUAUAUACAGGGAGUACCAGAUCAAUGUGGAGCUAUAUACAGGAAGUACCAGAUCAAUGUGGAGCUAUAUACAGGGAGUACCAGAUCAAUGUGGAGCUAUAUACAGGAAGUACCAGUACCAGAUCAAUGUGGAUCUAUAUACAGGAAGUACCAGAUCAAUGUGGAGCUAUAUACAGGGAGAACCAGUACCAGAUCAAUGUGGAGCUAUAUACAGGAAGUACCAGAUCAAUGUGGAGCUAUAUACAGGAAGUACCAGAUCAAUGUGGAGCUAUAUACAGGAAGUACCAGUACCAGAUCACUGUGUAGGGGUAUGAGGUAUUUGAGGUAGAUAUGUACAUGAAGGCAGGGUAAAGCGACUAGACAUCGGGAUAGAUAAUAAUAAGGUAUUUGAAGUAGAUAUGUACGUGAAGGCAGGUUAAAGUGACUAGGCAUCAGGAUAGAUACAAGUGAUGAUGCAGCCGGUCAGGAUGCUCUCAAUGGUGCAGCUGUAGAACCCUUUGAGGAUCUGAGGACCCAUGCCAAAUCUUUUCAGUCUCCUGAGGGGGAAAAGAU
rnacentral:lncRNA from 1 species